UCCGUAGGUGAACCUGCGGAAGGAUCAUUAGUGAACGCCCUCACGGGCUUAUAACUAUUCCAAACCUCUGUGAACCGUGCCCUUCGGGGCUAUUUUACAAACAUGGUGUAAUGAACGUCAUAUAUCAUAACAGAACAAAACUUUCAACAACGGAUCUCUUGGCCCUCGCAUCGAUGAAGAACGCAGCGAAAUGCGAUAAGUAAUGUGAAUUGCAGAAUUCAGUGGAUCAUCGAAUCUUUGAACGCACCUUGCGCCCUCUGGUAUUCCGGAGGGCAUGCCUGUUUGAGUGUCAUGUAGACUCAAUCCCUCGGGUUUCCGAGGAGAUUGGACUUGGGUGUUGCCGCUCUGCCGGCUCGCCUUAAAAGACUUAGCGGGAUAGCACCGUAGUCGGCGUAAUAAGUUUCGUCGGUGAAGGUUGUGAUGACUGCUUACAAUCGCCCUCGGGCAAUUUUUGACUCUGACCUCAAAUCAGGUAGGACUACCCGCUGAACUUAAGCAUAUCAAUAAGCGGAGGAA
rnacentral:rRNA from 1 species